UACAGGUGGGAUUGCGUUUUAAAUUCUUAAAUAGGCAUUAAGUGUGAUUAGGUGGCACAAGCUAGAGUUCUAAGAGGAGAGUUAGAGGAAUAACCAAAUGAAGGAUGAAAUCUUUAGAUAUUGGUUGGAACAUCGACAGCGACAGCAUCACUCUAUUUUAGGAUCUGACACUGAAUCACUAAAGUGUGGGGAGCAAACCGG
rnacentral:rRNA from 1 species